rnacentral:rRNA from 1 species
AUGGUCAGAUGGGACAUUAUAUGUCGCCCCAAGGCCAAAGGGGGUCUGGGCAUUAUUAAUACGCGAGUGAUGAAUACUUGUCUUAUGAUCAAAUGGUGGUGGAAGAUCAUGACUCUUGAGGAACUGCCACCCUGGCUCUCUAUCCUAAAAGCUAAAUAUUUCCCCUCCUCGAGUCCUAUGUUCGCGCCGGCUGCGGGUGGGUCGCAAUUUUGGCAUCAACUGGUUAAAGUCCGGCCGAUCUUUCGGUCCCUUGUAAAAUUUGUAGUUAGGAAUGGUAAGUCUACGCGGUUUUGGCUUGAUUGGUGGGUCGGGGACUCCACGCUGGCUGUUGCUUUUCCGGUUCUAUUUUUAUAUUGCGCUGAUACUGAGGUUUCUAUCUUUGAGCUCUCGGCUAGGGGUUGGGUUCUGGAUUUUCGUCGUUCUCUUUCUCCUGAAGAGUUGGAAGAUUGGCAGCGCCUUACUGCUUGCUUCCCCCUGCUCUCGGAGGAAGAGGAUGCCGUGGUGUGGCCCCUCUCCUCUUCGGGGCGUUUUUCGAUUAAAUCUGCUUACUCCAAGCUUAUCCCUGGGGGGCGCCCGGUCAAGUUUAAGCAUGUCUGGUCGGCUCGAAUUCCUCCUAAGAUCAAAAUAUUUCUCUGGCAAGCUGUUCGGAGUAAGCUUCCGGCGGCCGAUCAGAUUAAGAAAAGAAACGGGCCGGGGUCCGACAGGUGUGUGCUUUGUGGGGCACUGGAGAACACCGGGCAUAUUUUCUUUCACUGCUCCUUAGCUAAACUUAUGUGGAGUUGCAUCAGACUCUGGUUACAUGUAAAUUGGUCCCCUUCCUCCUUUGAAGACCUGAGGCAUUAUGUCAAUCUUCUUUUUGGCCAUUCUAAAAGAGUCUUCUUAGUUGGAUGGGCUGCGAUUGGUUAG